UGACGAUUAUAGCCGAAUAACAUAGACUAAGAAAUUAAUGUACAUAUAAAACAUAUACAUAUAUAAUUAGCUCAACCUUCAAUAAUUCAAUUUGCUAAUUAAAACAUAGAAAUUUAUAACCAAUUCAAAAUUCCUUAACAAUGGCCGAAUAUCAAAAGGGCUAUCAAAGGACAUCAUCAACUAACUAACAAGCAUCAAUUGUAAUUCAAAACUUAGGUUCACAUUUGGCCCAAGCAAACUUCAUUUCAAUUAUGCCACUCUUAAACUUAUCCAUAAUACCCUAAG
rnacentral:lncRNA from 1 species